GCUUCAGUGGUUUAAGUGGUUAGAGCGUCCGCCUCAGAUGCGGGAUGUCGCCGGUUUGAGUCCCGACCGAGUCA